GAUGAACGCUAGCUCCAGGCUUAACACAUGCAAGUCGAGGGACCGGCGCACGGGUGAGUAACACGUAUCCCACCUGCCCUUUACUCGGGGAUAGCCUUUCGAAAGAAAGAUUAAUACCCGAUAUAAAGGAUGGGGAUGCGUUCCAUUAGGUUGUUGGUGAGGUAACGGCUCACCAAGCCUUCGAUGGAUAGGGGUUCUGAGAGGAAAGGCCCCCACAUGUGAACGGGGACACGAUCCAAACGCGUACGGGAGGCAGCAGUUAGGAAUAUUGGUCAAGGGGCGCUAGCCUGAACCAGCCAAGUAGCGUGAAGGAUGAAGGCUUAUGGGUCGUUAACUUCUUUUAGAUAAGAAUAUGUAUUAUAUGAAUAAGGAUCGGCUAACUCCGUGCCAGCAGCCGCGGUAAUAC
rnacentral:rRNA from 1 species